AUACUUACCUGGCAGAGGCGACACCUUGAUCAUGAAAGAGGUUCACCCAGAGUGAGGCUUGCUAUUGCACCCCGGAUGUGCCGACCUUUGCCAAUUCCUCAUAUGUGGGAAUUUCGACUGCAUAAAUUGUGGUAGUCGGGGACUCCGUACCCCCUGUCCCCUG